CCUACGGGAGGCAGCAGUGGGGAAUUUUGGACAAUGGGCGAAAGCCUGAUCCAGCAAUGCCGCGUGAGUGAAGAAGGCCUUCGGGUUGUAAAGCUCUUUUGUCAGGGAAGAAACGGUGAAAGCUAAUAUCUUUUGCUAAUGACGGUACCUGAAGAAUAAGCACCGGCUAACUACGUGCCAGCAGCCGCGGUAAUACGUAGGGUGCAAGCGUUAAUCGGAAUUACUGGGCGUAAAGCGUGCGCAGGCGGUUUUGAAGUCUGAUGUGAAAUCCCCGGGCUCAACCUGGGAAUUGCAUUGGAGACUGCAAGGCUAGAAUCUGGCAGAGGGGGGUAGAAUUCCACGUGUAGCAGUGAAAUGCGUAGAUAUGUGGAGGAACACCGAUGGCGAAGGCAGCCCCCUGGGUCAAGAUUGACGCUCAUGCACGAAAGCGUGGGGAGCAAACAGGAUUAGAUACCCUGGUAGUCCACGCCCUAAACGAUGUCUACUAGUUNUCGGGUCUUAAUUGACUUGGUAACGCNGCUACGCGUGAGUAGACGCCGUCGGAGGUACGGUCGCGAGAGUAAACGUUAAAGUAGUAAGUUAGUAGACGUGAGAGUAGACGACGGACGACGACGAGGGAGGAGG
rnacentral:rRNA from 1 species